rnacentral:rRNA from 1 species
UACGAAGGGUGCAAGCGUUACUCGGAAUUACUGGGCGUAAUGCGUGCGUAGGUGGUUUGUUAAGUCUGAUGUGAAAGCCCCGGGCUCAACCUGGGAACUGCAGUGGAAACUGGCAAGCUAGAGUGUGUCAGAGGAUGGUGGAAUUCCCGGUGUAGCGGUGAAAUGCGUAGAGAUCGGGAGGAACAUCAGUGGCGAAGGCGGCCAUCUUGGACAACACUGACGCUGAGGCACGAAAGCGUGGGGAGCAAACAGG